rnacentral:rRNA from 1 species
UACGUAGGGUGCGAGCGCUAAUCGGAAUUACUGGGCGUAAAGCGUGCGCAGGCGGUUCGUUGUGUCGGCGGUGAAAGCCCCGGGCUCAACCUGGGAAUGGCCGUUGAAACUGGCGAACUGGAGUGUGGCAGAGGGGGGUGGAAUUCCGCGUGUAGCAGUGAAAUGCGUAGAGAUGCGGAGGAACACCGAUGGCGAAGGCAGCCCCCUGGGCUAACACUGACGCUCAGGCACGAAAGCGUGGGGAGCAAACAGG